GUUUAUUCUUUCAACAGGCAAGAUUAUGAAAGAUGAUUUUCUUUUUUUUGUUAUUGUUUAAAGGCAGGUAGAAUUGAUUCUACCAAACUACCGACAGAUGCUAAACAAGCCUAUUGUCUAAGGUGCUAUCUCAGAGGAAAACAUUGCCUCUUAUUGUGGAGUGCGGUCAUUACUUCUCAUGCAGCUGUUUGUCAAGUUGUUUGGCAGCCUUUUGGUGCUGCUGUGGCCUCAAAAGGGUUAACAGCAAGUCAGCGGUGCUGCUGUAAUCCUCCAGGACUACCAGCAUGCUGCACUGUUGUUGUGUCAGACCGGGGGGUUCUGGAGGAAGCUGCGCUAGCUGUGGCAGCUGCCUCAGUCACGUCUGUCAUUUUGGGUUUCUGUUUUCAACAACAUGGCUGACGUAGCAGGUAAAGCAAAAGACCACCGUAGCCUGUACAGAACCAUGUUCUUCCACUCCCUCCCACAUCCAGAAAACGCCCUACCUCCUCAGAAAACGAACGCCGUGCGUCAGGAACACGUCCUCGUUGGGGGGAAAGCAAAAACGUGUGUUUGACAAACAACCCUUGUCCUGUCUGCAGUGGUGGAAACAAUGCAGGUUCCCCUUUCAGGAUCCCCAUGGGCAAAUGGAAGAGGGAGGAAUGGCCAGCUUACCAUUAGAGUUGUUGUCAGCUGCCAACUGGCAAUAUUAGUAUUGGGGAACCUUCUACUAGAGCAAGGAAGGCAGCGAAGCUUGAACUAAAGAUCUGAAGCACUUUGCUGUGUCAUCUAUCUUCAUUGUCCCUUCUGGGAGCCACAGAAAUGGUACACACCCCAUCUGGGAACCAAAAACACCUAGCAACUGCAGCCUGAAUGAGGGCUUGAAAUGCUCUGCCAUUUCAUUUAUCUUCUCCGUCCCUCCUGGCAACCAGAGAAACAGUGGCUGAAGGCACACCCCACCCAGAAACCAGAGACAGCAAGUGCUGUACCCUGAGCAGAAGCCUGAAAGCAAGCCAUUCCAUUCAUCCCCUGCUUCCUGUCUGCAGCACUGUACCUGGCACAGGAGUCACUUAG
ensembl:lncRNA